AGGAAAAAGAAGAGAAAAGUCUGGUUUUCAACUGAGAGAUUGCUUGUUAUAAGAGGUUCACUCUCAGAUUGGUGAAUGUUCUUCAGGAAGAUUGCCGCCUCCCACCUGAUUUUGGAUACUUAGGCACUUUAUAAUCCCUGAACCUUUAUGCUUCUCCUCCAACUGUUUCAUUCUUGAUUGUGAAAUGGGAAAACUUGGAAUAUCAUCUUUGACCAUGCUACAGACGUCAAGGGUCAUCUUUUAUCUGAUACCAUAUUUUAUUGUCAGAUUGCAGCAAAUCAGGCAAGUUCAUGAGAUCAGGAGCAGGAGAGUGGGAAAACAUCAUCAUAUCUCCAAAAUUGGGCAAUUAUAAUGUGAAUAUAUAUCACCAAAAGUUGAAAAGCGUCAUUCAUGAGACCAAGACCUGGUUUAACAACUAAAUGAUGGUUAUAUAUGUAUAUGUCCAUGAGUUGAGGCUUGAGAUAGUAAAA
rnacentral:misc_RNA from 1 species